rfam:Chitinophaga eiseniae strain DSM 22224 genome assembly, contig: Ga0070509_101
AUUGGGAUCGCCGAAAACCAAAAAAAGAGUAGGCA